UAGGGAAUCUUCGGCAAUGGACGAAAGUCUGACCGAGCAACGCCGCGUGAGUGAAGAAGGUUUUCGGAUCGUAAAACUCUGUUGUUAGAGAAGAACGUUGUGUAGAGUGGAAAAUUACACAAGUGACGGUAUCUAACCAGAAAGUGACGGCUAACUACGUGCCAGCAGCCGCGGUAAUACGUAGGUCCCGAGCGUUGUCCGGAUUUAUUGGGCGUAAAGCGAGCGCAGGUGGUUUAAUAAGUCUGAUGUAAAAGGCAGUGGCUCAACCAUUGUGUGCAUUGGAAACUGUUAGACUUGGGUGCAGUAGAGGAGAGUGGAAUUCCAUGUGUAGCGGUUAAAUGCGUAGAUAUAUGGAGGAGCACCGGUGGCGAAAGCGGCUCUCUGGACUGUAACUGACACUGAGACUCGAGAGCGUGGGUAGCAAAAA
rnacentral:rRNA from 1 species